UACGGGGGGGGCAAGCGUUGUUCGGAAUUACUGGGCGUAAAGGGCUCCGUAGGCGGCCAACUAAGUCCGCACGUGAAAUCCCAAGGCUUAACCUUGGAACUGCGUCGGAUACUGGAUGGCUUGAAUUCGGGAGAGGGAUGCAGAAUUCCAGGUGUAGCGGUGAAAUGCGUAGAUAUCUGGAGGAAUACCGGUGGCGCAAGGCGGCAUCCUGGACCGACCAUUGACGCUGAUGAGCGAAAGCUAGGGGAGCAAACGGG
rnacentral:rRNA from 1 species